ensembl:lncRNA
AUAAUGAGAGGAAAACGUGGGUUUGAAGGAUGGAAUUUCAGGAAUGCAUCUGAAGCAGCCUUGAAGGGAUGGCAAAGAAGGUACAGAGAUUUUUCAGGAAGAGCACAGAGCAAAGGAUACAAAAAAGAGUAGCUCCGAUGCUUGACAGGUGAUGAUCUGGCUACAACCUACCUGGUAAAAAGAAACACAUCGCACAAGGAAAAGAGACCUCAUCAGCACUUGGGCUGCAAUUCAAGAAGAGAGAGCGAAUUAGAAAAUAGAAAAACAGGUAUCUGCCCAGGAAGUUCGAAUCCAAAACAUUUCCAGCAGCAUUUACUUGCUUUGAAGAAAGAUAAUUACACUUUUACUGGAGCUUUGCGUUAAACAAUGUUAGAAGGAUGUAACAUUUUUUUCCCUCUAUAUUUUUAUAGAAAUAUCUUCUAUAGGCUUCUAAGUGGAAGUAAGCUAGAGCUGAAGACAAAAUAUCACAAAUAUUUCUGCCACCUUUUUGUCUUCUUCAUUAACUAUAAUGCCAAAGCCUAAGAAGCCAUUGAUUUUACCAAAGAUAGAUAUAUUUGUGAAGAAAGUGUGA